CGGUAGUUUCUACUGGACUUCCAGAAGAUGGGCACAGGUGGUGGGACACGAAUACUGCUACGGAUAUCAAUACUAGCACUUGCCUUCAUACAGAUCAGAGUUCAAGCCCAGGAUGAUGAACAACAAACAAAAUCAAACUAUGUUUCUUCAUCCACCCUGCAGCGACAAAACAAUUUUCCACCAGCUUUGAAAUCCCAAGAAGUGAAAAUCAUUCCAACUUUUCAAAACACACUGAAAGUAAAGGGUG